rnacentral:rRNA from 1 species
GACAGAGGAUGCAAGCGUUAUCCGGAAUGAUUGGGCGUAAAGCGUCUGUAGGUGGCUUUUCAAGUCCGCCGUCAAAUCCCAGGGCUCAACCUUGGACAGGCGGUGGAAACUACCAAGCUAGAGUACGGUAGGGGCAGAGGGAAUUUCCGGUGGAGCGGUGAAAUGCAUUGAGAUCGGAAAGAACACCAACGGCGAAAGCACUCUGCUGGGCCGACACUGACACUAAGAGACGAAACCUAGGGGAGCAAAUGGG